GGGGGGGGGGGGGGGGGGGGGGGGGGGGGGGGGGGGGGGGGCUUCCGGCUUCCGCCGCGCGGGGCCUGCCGGGCCCGAGAAGGAGCCGCGCGUCCCCGGGGACGGGCGGGCCGGGCUGGCGCUGCCCGCGCCGCUCUCCCGGCGGGGCGCUUGGAGCGGCCGUAACGCAACAAAAACCCGUCCGCUGUGCCUGCCCCCACCGCCAGAGGCAGCGGGAGAGCGCUAGCUGCGCUGAAAUGUGGGGGUUACCCCGGAACGCACCGAAGAUGAGUUGCAUGAGGUUUAGGAUACCACAAGUUAUGGAGAUUCCCAAAGAAAUUUUGCUUUCACUUCUUAAACAUCACAGGCUGAAAGCAUGGAAGAGGUGA
rnacentral:lncRNA from 12 species